rnacentral:lncRNA from 1 species
UAUCUAUGGACUAAAUAAUGGAUAUGGACCAUGUGAUAUGGAUAUAGAUUUAGGAUUUGAAUUUUUUGGGGCAAAAAAUUAAGUUUUCAGCAAAAAAAAAAAAAAAAAAAAUUCCAGAAAACUGUGGGGUCAUUUGACCCCACAUGAUCCCAUGUGAGUCCGCCCCUGGCUUCAGAUGAAUACAGUGAUAUUGUUAACACAACAAAGAAAAGGAGAAACUUUGGAAACA